CUCUACAACCACCUAGCAAUUACUAUAAGUCAAGUGUUCGGAGGCCGCUACGGAAAAACUCUACCCCACAGCCCAGAGCAUACAGGGAAGAGUUGGGUUACUAUAAGGCACUUACCUCCUGCAUUUGGAUUUAGGGUGGAUUAUAUUUAGGUCCAUUGAAUGGUCCAGAUAAUAAGAGAGUUCAGGUUGCUUCCUGUUCUCAGUGCUGCAGGACAGCCUCACAUUUAGUGAAUAACCUCUCCCCCCAUAUUCCUAUCUCUUCCCCAGUUGAGAUAUAUUAAACCUCACCAUGUCAUGUAUGGGAUAAAGAAUGGAGGGUCUUGUCCUGGGCCCCUCACAUUGUGAGAAGGAUAAAAUAAACACUUUUGGCUCCAUAACCUUUGACUCUGGCUCUUUGGACUCCAGAUCUGUCUCACUCCCCUUAGUAUUGAUUCAGAUUCAUCCCUAUAUAACCAUGGUUUUGACACAAUCUUC